rnacentral:lncRNA from 1 species
CGACGAUCACAAUUAGUUUUUCCAGAUUAUUUUUUCACAGGCAAGUGCAGUUAUCACAUAGGUAAUAAUAUGUGUACUUGCGGAGUAGAGCUAGCCAAUUCCUAGUUUUCGAUGCCCUACCUUAAGGAGAAGCUUUUACUGCCUCUUUGUCAAGGUUACACUAGAUCUACCAAUUGAGUCGUGAACGUGUGAUACACUCGCUUACAUUAGAUUACUAGAUAAUAAAUUAUUUGUUGAGAACGUGUGAUACACUUGCCUUUUUUAUACUUUGUUUACUUUUCUCCCCCUCUUAUUAGAGAAAAAUUCUAGUAGAUGAAUACCUUAUUUGAAGCUCCCUUAGGUAGCCAUUCCCUUUCCAGAUAAUCGUACGGGAGACUUUCGAAAGCUUGCAUCAAUUUUA